UAGCUCUUUUUUGGUUGGUUCUUGCACA
rnacentral:piRNA from 1 species